rnacentral:rRNA from 1 species
GACGAACGCUGGCGGCAGGCCUAACCCAUGCAAGUCGAGCGGAGCGGCGGACGGGUGAGUACUGCCUAGGAAUCUGCCUGGUUGUGGGGGAUAACGUCCGGAAACGGGCGCUAUUACCUCACACUAUCAGAUGAGCCUAGGCCGGAGUAGCUAGUUGGUGGGGUAAAGGCCUACCAAGGCGACGAUCCGUAACUGGUCUGAGAGGAUGAUCAGUCACACUGGAACUGAGACACGGUCCAGACUCCUACGGGAGGCAGCAGGGGGGAAUAUUGAACAAUGGGCGAAAGCAUGAUCCAGCCAUGCCGCGUGUGUGAAGAAGGUCUUCGGAUUGUAAAGCACUUUAAGUUGGGAGGCGUUACCAACAGAAUAAGCACCGGCUAACUUCGUGCCAGCAGCCGCGGUAAUAC